GACGAACGCUGGCGGCGUGCUUAACACAUGCAAGUCGAACGGAAAGGCCCUGCUUUUGUGGGGUGCUCGAGUGGCGAACGGGGGAGUAACACGUGAGUAACCUGCCCUUGACUUUGGGAUAACUUCAGGAAACUGGGGCUAAUACCAGAUAGGAGCUCCUGCUGCAUGGUGGGGGUUGGAAAGUUUCGGCGGUUGGGGAUGGACUCGCGGCUUAUCAGCUUGUUGGUGGGGUAGUGGCUUACCAAGGCUUUGACGGGUAGCCGGCCUGAGAGGGUGACCGGCCACAUUGGGACUGAGAUACGGCCCAGACUCCUACGGGAGGCAGCAGUGGGGAAUAUUGCACAAUGGGAGGAAGCCUGAUGCAGCAACGCCGCGUGCGGGAUGACGGCCUUCGGGUUGUAAACAGCUUUCGCCUGUGACGAAGCGUGAGUGACGGUAAUGGGUAAAGAAGCACCGGCUAACUACGUG
rnacentral:rRNA from 1 species